UGGAGUGCUUUGUUUAACGAUAGAUCGCUUUCUGUUUUUCGAGUAUUCCAUCUCCUACAUGUCAUUGGUUACUCGUAGAAGAAUGUUAGCAUUAAUAUUUACACAUUGGUUUCUCGGUAUAUUGUAUGGAGCACUUCCAGUCGUUGAUGAAUGUGAUAAGAUACUAAAAAUUGUUAACUUUAUAACCUUGAUAUUUAUAAAUGCAUUCAUGGGGUUUGUUUACGCUCAAGUGCAGCGGAGCAUAUCAAAACAACGUAGACAAAUUAGUGAACGUUAUGCAAAGAAUAAAGACAGCCAAGAAAGAAAAAGUUCUUUCAGGAAGUUAUCGAAAACAAAGCAAGUGACCGUUACUAUGAUUUUGAUUGUGUUUACAUUUUGUGGAUGUUUGUGCCCUUACACGACAGUCGUUCGGAUUAGUGUUGUGUUUCAUGAAUUCCGCUUUUAAUAUUUUUUAUUUAUGGUGUGAAAAAUAAGGACUUGAAAUUUAACGCGAUAAAACUGGUGUAUAAGCAACGUCAAAGAAAUGUCGGAAUCUCACAAGACACCAAGAAAGACGUAUAUCAUACUAAAAAGGCUUAAUAAUUUAAAAAGGCUUAAUAAUUUAAAGUUGUAUGUGGAACAUUUUGUUUCUAGGAACAAAAAAUGAGUCCAGGUUAUCCAAAAAGGAAGGGUCUGUUAAGAUAAGAUGCUAUUUCGAACAGUUGCAAUAAAUUUGACAAACUUCUUUUAGUUUGUUUAUUUCUUGACUUUCUGAUUGCAACAUUACUUACUUACAUAUAUGUAAAACUUGAGCGCGUAAUAGCUGUUUCUUUCGACGCACCCAUUAAAACGUAUAUAAAGUCUUAACGGGUUUAAAACGCUCAAAUAAUCUCUUCCUGUCUACCAUCGCACAUAAAAUGAAUCCUUUCCUUUUAUCGUGAUGGCGGAUGACGGAUUUGUGUGACGUUUGUUGUGAGUGCGCAAUGCUAAAAUAAGAUGGUGGUGCGUAAUAGAGCGGGACUUUCGUGUGUGUGCGUGUGUGUGUCUGGGUUUGAUAAAUUGGUAGCAUGAAUUUGAGAAGUUGUUGAAGGAAAUUUUUGUCUCUGUUCUAUACUUACCAAGCUGGCUAUAGCUUGCAUCAAUAUGGAUACCAUAUAAACACGUCAUACCAUAACAGUUUUAAGAGUUCUUUUAUCGUUUUUACCAAAUGACCCAUUUUUUUUUCCAGAAGUGCUUUGCUUCAUGAUACUAGUUAGCCCCUGAAAAUUCCACGAGAAUUCGCCUGUUGCAUUAAAGUCAAUGGUGUAGAAUGGCCCGGUUUUGUCCAACAGACAGACAACGCCUAAUAAUAUAUAGAAAAAAACUUAAGCUUAUUUCAGUGGCUUGCUAAAUCGUUGUAAGUAAUACAUUUUAAUCCUAUGAAGUCGGUAAUUUUAUUACUGUUUCAUAGAAAUUCUAUUUUUGUUGACUUUCUAUAAUUCAUUUAUAAGGUGUGUUGAAGAAAAAUCCAUAGUUUAACCGUAGUCACAUCAGCAUACUACAGGCCCACUUUCUGAAAACGAAACUUAAAAUUUACGAACUUUUAACCUGUUUUGGAAUGUUUCUUGACCAGCCUAAAAAAAAUGUAUUCUCAGGCACGAAGUAAUUGAUUGGAAAUUAAUAAUUGAGAAGGCAAUUAGCAGAAAUGGAAAGAUAGACAACACUCUACUAAUGGUGCCAUUGCAACUAUUAAUGUUAUUUGAGAUCAGAAAAUGUAUAUUGCCCAGGUGACUCAGCUGCAUUCUUAACUAGUAAAGAAGAUGAAAAGUUUGCGUGCACGAAGUUAACAGUCGAUCAUAAAGCUGACAGUGUGGGAAAAAAUCUCUCUAUAGUUAUAGACUUAUUUUUCUAAAUUUUGCCAAUGGAUUUUAUAUGGAUAAAAUUUCGUUUGGAUUGAACUUUUUAGUCAUCAAAAUAUGGCUUAGAUUAAUGUUUACCAUUGUGGAUAUUGAUGUGAAACAAACAAAAUAAGUCAAGAAAUAUUGGAAAACUUUUUAAACAAAUUUAAAUGUUUUCAGGUAGUAAUAACAACUUUAUUUGUAUUGCUAUCCACUUCUUGUUGGUAAUUUCAA